CACCCGAUGGCACAUGGUGUGCCCUUGCUUACAAUUGCUGAUUUCCCUCGGAAUUGGGUAUGCAAAAGUCCCUCGUUCGAUUCGGGGUCGGGUGA